GGGUUCGUGGAGUAGUCGCAGGGUGGUGAGCCCCCCCUCAUCCUCCCAGGAUUCCACAGGGGAGGGAGGGUGGGACAGCCCUAAGCCCCAACCACCGGACUCCCCCCUCUGGAGCAUGAGAGUGGGGCGUGGCUCAGGGUUUCCCAGCAGGAGGAGGUCCAGAGGAGGAGGUGUUGGAGGAGGAAGAGGAGGAGGAGGAGGAAGAGGAAGGAGCAGACUGAAGACUCAGGACAGUCUGACUGUGUCACCAGGAUAUGGGUACGUGGAACCGUUCCAGCCAAAGGAGGAAGAGGAGAACUCGAUGCACAACACGGUGGUGAUGUUCUCUACCUCCGACCACUUCACUCUCAGACAGG